AGUAGAUACAGAAACCUAUGGCAGUAUCACUGUUUGUUAGGCUGUAAAAAUGCAAAGACUUUGAAAUACAUACUGAAGAAAGGAAAAUACUAUAAAAAUUUAUGUGGUGCAGCCAGAAAUGCAUUCCAGAAACUAAAGAUGCGCAGUAACACCAUACAGCCUGAAUUUGAAAAAAAAGCCACUAUGAAGCCGAUGACACAAUGGAUUUGUGCUAGAUCUUCAGCUCAAGAGGGAGGCUGGAAGUGAGUGCAGUCUCUGCAAGCAAAUAGUCUCUUCAGCUAGUGCAAAUUAAGUCCCAGUAGAUGAACACCAUGUUUGGAAUUGAUAUACAUUUAUUGGGUAUGGGGAAAGGCUGGGAGAACUUAUAUUGCCUCAAGUGGUGCUACAGUAGUCCAGGUCAGUAGGUCUGAAUGCCAAGGGUGUUGGACAGGCACUUCAAGGAAAAUUUUACACUGGAAGCAGUAUGUACAUCUGGAAGAUAGUAUUG
ensembl:lncRNA